AACGCUGGCGGCAGGCCUAACACAUGCAAGUCGAACGGCAGCACAGAGGAGCUUGCUCCUUGGGUGGCGAGUGGCGGACGGGUGAGGAAUACAUCGGAAUCUGCCUAUUUGUGGGGGAUAACGUAGGGAAACUUACGCUAAUACCGCAUACGACCUACGGGUGAAAGCCGGGGACCUUCGGGCCUGGCGCAGAUAGAUGAGCCGAUGUCGGAUUAGCUAGUUGGCGGGGUAAAGGCCCACCAAGGCGACGAUCCGUAGCUGGUCUGAGAGGAUGAUCAGCCACACUGGAACUGAGACACGGUCCAGACUCCUACGGGAGGCAGCAGUGGGGAAUAUUGGACAAUGGGCGCAAGCCUGAUCCAGCCAUGCCGCGUGGGUGAAGAAGGCCUUCGGGUUGUAAAGCCCUUUUGUUGGGAAAGAAAAGCAGUCGGUUAAUACCCGAUUGUUCUGACGGUACCCAAAGAAUAAGCACCGGCUAACUUCGUGCCAGCAGCCGCGGUAAUACGAAGGGUGCAAGCGUUACUCGGAAUUACUGGGCGUAAAGCGUGCGUAGGUGGUUUGUUAAGUCUGAUGUGAAAGCCCUGGGCUCAACCUGGGAAUUGCAUUGGAUACUGGCAGGCUAGAGUGCGGUAGAGGGUAGUGGAAUUCCCGGU
rnacentral:rRNA from 1 species